CAAUAGCGUAUAUUAAAGUUGUUGCGGUUAAAAAGCUCGUAGUUGGAUUUCUGCUGAGAACGACCGGUCCGCCCUUUGGGUGUGUAUCUGGCUCUUUCUUGGCAUCUUCUUGGUGAACGUUGCUGCACUUGACUGUGUGGAGCGCUACCCAGGACUUUUACUUUGAGGAAAUUAGAGUGUUUCAAGCAGGCAUACGCCUUGAAUACAUUAGCAUGGAAUAAUAAGAUAGGACCUCGGUUCUAUUUUGUUGGUUUCUAGAGCUGAGGUAAUGAUUAAUAGGGAUAGUUGGGGGCAUUCGUAUUUAACUGUCAGAGGUGAAAUUCUCGGAUUUGUUAAAGACGGACUACUGCGAAAGCAUUUGCCAAGGAUGUUUACAUUGA
rnacentral:rRNA from 1 species